rnacentral:rRNA from 1 species
UACGAAGGGGGCUAGCGUUGCUCGGAAUUACUGGGCGUAAAGGGCGCGUAGGCGGACAGUUUAGUCAGAGGUGAAAGCCCAGGGCUCAACCUUGGAAUUGCCUUUGAUACUGGCUGUCUUGAGUUCGGGAGAGGUGAGUGGAAUGCCGAGUGUAGAGGUGAAAUUCGUAGAUAUUCGGCGGAACACCAGUGGCGAAGGCGACUCACUGGCCCGAUACUGACGCUGGGGCGCGAAAGCGUGGGGAGCAAACAGG